rnacentral:rRNA from 1 species
GAUGAACGCUGGCGGCGUGCCUAAUACAUGCAAGUCGAGCGAACGGACGAGAAGCUUGCUUCUCUGAUGUUAGCGGCGGACGGGUGAGUAACACGUGGAUAACCUACCUAUAAGACUGGGAUAACUUCGGGAAACCGGAGCUAAUACCGGAUAAUAUUUUGAACCGCAUGGUUCAAAAGUGAAAGACGGUCUUGCUGUCACUUAUAGAUGGAUCCGCGCUGCAUUAGCUAGUUGGUAAGGUAACGGCUUACCAAGGCAACGAUGCAUAGCCGACCUGAGAGGGUGAUCGGCCACACGAGAACUGAGCCACGGUCAAGACUCCUGCGGGAGGCCGCAGUAGGGAAUCUUCCGCAAUGGGCGGAAGCCUGACGGAGCAACGCCACGUGAGUGAUGAAGGUCUUCGGAGCGUAAAACUCUGUUAUUAGGGAAGAACAUAUGUGUAAGUAACUGUGCACAUCUUGACGGUACCUAAUCAGAAAGCCACGGCUAACUACGUG